CCUACGGGCGGCAGCAGUAGGGAAUCUUUCACAAUGGGCGAAAGCCUGAUGGAGCAACGCCGCGUGCAGGAUGAAGGCCUUCGGGUUGUAAACUGCUUUUAUAAGCGAGAAAUAUGAUGGUAACUUAUGAAUAAGGAUCGGCUAACCACGUGCCAGCAGCCGCGGUCAUACGUAGGAUCCGAGCAUUAUCCGGAGUGACUGGGUGUAAAGAGUUGCGUAGGUGGCAUAAUAAGUAGCUAGUGAAAUCUGGUGGCUCAACCAUUCAGACUAUUAGCUAAACUGUUAAGCUCGAGACCGUUAGGGGUAACUGGAAUUUCUAGUGUAGGAGUGAAAUCCGUAGAUAUUAGAAGGAACACCAAUAGCGUAGGCAGGUUGCUGGGACGGUUCUGACACUAAGGCACGAAAGCGUAGGGAGCAAACGGGAUUAGAUACCCCUGUAGUC
rnacentral:rRNA from 1 species